CACUCCGCCUGGGGAGUACGGUCGCAAGACUGAAACUCAAAGGAAUUGACGGGGGCCCGCACAAGCGGUGGAGCAUGUGGUUAAUUCGAAGCAACGCGAAGAACCUUACCAGGUCUUGACAUCCUCUGACAAUCCUAGAGAUAGGACGUCCCCUUCGGGGGCAGAGUGACAGGUGGUGCAUGGUUGUCGUCAGCUCGUGUCGUGAGAUGUUGGGUUAAGUCCCGCAACGAGCGCAACCCUUGAUCUUAGUUGCCAGCAUUCAGUUGGGCACUCUAAGGUGACUGCCGGUGACAAACCGGAGGAAGGUGGGGAUGACGUCAAAUCAUCAUGCCCCUUAUGACCUGGGCUACACACGUGCUACAAUGGACAGAACAAAGGGCAGCGAAACCGCGAGGUUAAGCCAAUCCCACAAAUCUGUUCUCAGUUCGGAUCGCAGUCUGCAACUCGACUGCGUGAAGCUGGAAUCGCUAGUAAUCGCGGAUCAGCAUGCCGCGGUGAAUACGUUCCCGGGCCUUGUACACACCGCC
rnacentral:rRNA from 1 species